GUCGUCUCCAGUUUGUUCCUUUGUGGAAACCACAGCUUCAACUGAAGAGACUGAAGAGACCUGACUCCACACGGCGACCUUCCAGUUACAGGGCGAGCGCUGGCUUUAUAACAUCGUCCUCAGAUCUGAUCAGCUCUUCCUCCAGAUGCCUUCCUUCAUUGUUUCAGUUUAAGACUUUUCCUUUCUCAGAACUGUAGCUUUGUCUUUUUACUGUUUUUCGCACUUUAACUUUUCUAAUUGGUCAAUGUGAUAUUUACUUUUGUAUGACCCCCAUACUUUUCUAUGAUCAUUUUCGCUGUUGAAUAAAUAAUAAAUCAAAUGUAAAAAUCUGCUUUAUUUCUUACGCCGCUCCCUCCGGUCCAGCAGGGGCGCAGGUCCGUGUGCGCAGUGUCAUUGUUGUUGUUAGCAACAGUUGUUUCUCUUUUCGACACUAUUUUUCAGCCUUUUCUGUGUUUUCUUGUCUCUGAGCUUCUUCAAACAGCUCAUACAGCGGGACACGGCUUUAAUAACCUCCUCCUCCGUGUUUUUAUGGACUUUAUUCACUCGUUUGGAGCCGAGGAGGAGCGGGAAGUUUGAACAUGUAGCAUCUGUUAGCCGCGAUGCUAACUCUGACAAACACAACUUUUUCACUUUUUAAUCGUCUUUUCCUCAUGUUUCUCUGCGCUGGACGAUUUAAUACAAACACUUAUUAACAGUUAUGAUGUUUUAUGCCUUUAGUCCAAACUUAGUUCAGGAAUAUUCACGGAUAUAUGAAGAUUAAUCAACAAAACACAUCAGGAAUAUGAUAUAAUUAGACUUAAAUGAUGCACAACGUUAGUUUUAUUAUUGUAAAUGAAGUCAGAUUCAGGUCAUAUUUAGCCUAAUUGUCCAAAGAGUCGGUGAGAGUCAAAGAUUUGCAGCUAAACGGUGUUAAAACAGAGUUAAAGUGAAGGAUGUUGGUGUCAGACUCUGGUCAGGACCAGCCUCUGUCCCCGGACACUGAGAACCUGCUGAUCCGCUCCACACGGGUCAAUCUGCGGAUCCAGAGACACGGCCCAGGCCCUGUGCACCUCCACACCGAGCCUCCUGCAGCUCCCAGGCCGAGUAGGACGCCUCCUCCUCCGGGUGAGGAGGAGCUGCAGACGAUCCGAUUGGCUGCAGGAGGGCGAGGGGCGGGGCUGGAGGCGCUCAGACAAAGGAGUCACAGCGCCCCCCGCAGGAGACCGGUCAGAGUCACGCUGCUGGACUCCCACAAUGCACCAGGGCAGGACUCCAGCUCCCACAAUGCACCAGGGCAGGACUCCAGCUCCCACAAUGCACCAGGGCAGGACUCCAGCUCCCACAAUGCACCAGGGCAGGACUCCAGCUCCCAUAAUGCACCAGGGCAGGACUCCAGCUCCCACAAUGCACCAGGGCAGGACUCCAGCUCCCAUAAUGCACCAGGGCAGGACUCCAGCUCCCACAAUGCACCAGGGCAGGGCUGUAACAUGGAGAGAGUGUCGGAGCUCACAGAGUCGGUGCAGAAGCUGCUGCAGAACCACAGGGGCCAGACUCUGACGGAGGAGACUCUGCACCGACUGGAGACUCUUCACAACCAGCAGCUCACUCUGCAGAACCAGCUGUUGGACUCUGCGCUGUCGAUGGCGAUGAGACCUCAGGCCCCGCCCCCUCCUGCUGCUGUUCCCACGGCGACGUUACCCGUGUCUGUGGCCCCGCCCUGCCGCUGUGAGCGAGCGCCCGAGCGGUCGUCUCCCAGGGCAACGCUGGAGGAGGCGGGGCUUAGGCCAGAGCAGGUCCUGAUGGAGAUGCAGCGUCUGAGGGCGGAGCUCCAGGUGGCGCUCACGCAGCGAAAAGAACCAGAGAAACCGCCUCCUUCUAAAGAGACUGGACCCAAACCCUCCAGAACCUUCCAGAACCCGCCCAGAUCCUCCAGAGUCCCCGUCGCUCGACUUCACACGAGGAGCCACCAGAGGGAGACACCGGGACGACAGCCGAGCACAGAGGAGACCACACAAAAGCAGCAGCUGAAGGACACUGAGAGAGGAGAGAACUCAGACCAACACCUGAACAUCUGUGGACACCAGGAGAACCAGAGCGAGGAGCAGGAAAACUACAUCCAAUAUUUACAAAACAGGAUCGAAUCCAAACAACACGACCUGAGAGUCAGCGGGAAACCAAGAGCUGGAGAUGAGACGGAAGGAGGAGGAGAGAGAGAGAGAGAGGAGAGAGAGGAGAGAGAGGAGAGAGAGGAGAGAGAGGAGAGAGAGGAGAGAGAGGAGAGAGAGGAGAGAGAGGAGGAGGAGAGAGAGGAGAGAGAGGAGAGAGAGGAGAGAGAGGAGAGAGAGGAGGAGGAGAGAGAGGAGAGAGAGGAGAGAGAGAGGAGAGAGAGGAGGAGGAGAGAGAGGAGAGAGAGGAGAGAGAGGAGAGAGAGGAGAGGCUCAGGAGAGGCUGAAGGAAAGGUCUGCAGCUCUGAGGCCUGA
rnacentral:lncRNA from 1 species